rnacentral:rRNA from 1 species
UACGAGGGGUGCAAGCGUUGUUCGGAAUUACUGGGCGUAAAGCGUGCGCAGGCGGUUUUGUAAGCCGGAUGUGAAAUCCCCGGGCUUAACCUGGGAAUGGCAUUCGGGACUGCAAGGCUGGAGUGCGGCAGAGGAGACUGGAAUUCCUGGUGUAGCGGUGAAAUGCGUAGAUAUCAGGAGGAACACCUGUGGUGUAGACAGCUUACUGGACCACUUCUGACGCUGAGACACGAAAGCGUGGGUAGCAAACAGG